rnacentral:lncRNA from 1 species
GGGGCCAGUAGUUCAGUGGUUGUCGUUGGUUCGUUUCAGUCAUAUUGUUUUUUCGUAAAGUGUUUUGUUAUAAAUAAGGCCGUUGGUUUUCUCAAUUGAAUUGUUUGAUAUUUUUCAUUUCGAGGCCUUUUUAUAGCCGACUAUACGGUAUGUGUUUUUCUCAUUGUUGAAGGCCGUACAGUUGCCAAUAAUUGCUUACAUCCACUUCAUUUGCAC